rnacentral:tRNA from 1 species
GGGAAUAUAGCUCAGUGAUAGAGCACUUGCCUACAAUGCAUGAAGCCUGAGUUUAAUCCCCAGAACUACCA